CAUGUCUCCCAGUGUCCCCAUGUCUCCCAGUGUCCCCUAGUAUCCUAGUGACAUGGGGACACUGGGAGACUAUGGGACUGGGUGACAU